UACAGAGGGUGCAAACGUUGUUCGGAAUUACUGGGCGUAAAGCGUGCGUAGACGGCUAUCUAAGUCGGGUGUGAAAGCCCCGGGCUCAACCUGGGAAUUGCAUUCGAGACUGAAUAGCUAGGGUACGGUAGAGGGAAGCGGAAUUUCCGGUGUAGCGGUGAAAUGCGUAGAUAUCGGAAGGAACACCAGUGGCGAAGGCGGCUCACUGGUCCGGUUCUGACGCUGAGGCGCGAAAGCGUGGGGAGCAAACAGG
rnacentral:rRNA from 1 species